rnacentral:lncRNA from 1 species
UAUAGUGUAGUAUAGGUCCCUUAUAGGUCUUGUAUAGGCAUAUCGACGUAUACGGGCGUUGUAUCAUAUCCUAUAGUAUCGUAUCGAAUUAUAUUGUAUCGUAUAGUAUAGUAUAAGUCUCGUAUAGCUCUCGUAUAGACCUAUAUGGGAUCUAUACGAGAUUUAUACUAUACACUAUACGAUACUAUCGUCUCAUAUAGUGUAGUAUAGGUCCCUUAUAGGUCUUGUAUAGGCCUAUCGACGUAUACGGGCGUUGUAUCAUAUCCUAUAGUAUCGUAUCGUAUCGUAUCGUAUCGUAUCGUAUCGUAUCGUAUCGUAUCGUAUAGUAUAGUAUAGUAUAGUGUAGUAUAAGUCUCGUAUAGCUCUCGUAUAGACCUAUAUGGGACCUAUACGAGACUUAUACUAUACACUAUACGAUAUAAUACGAACUAUCGUAUCAUAUAGAGUAGUAUAGGUCCCUUAUAGGUCUUGUAUAAGCCUAUAGGCCUAAACGGGACCAAAACCACACCUAUAGUCCUAUACGAGUGUUGUAUCGUAUCAUAUCGUAUCGUAUAGUGUAGUAUAAAUCUCGUAUAGGCAUUGUAUGGGCCUAUGGAUGUGGGCGUCUAUGAGGACCAAAUAUGAGUGAGUGUUUUUAUAAUUAAUAUUAGUGUUAUUAUAAUUAAUAUGAGUUUUUUAUAGUUAAUAUUAGUGUUAUUGAUAUU